UACGAAGGGUGCAAGCGUUAAUCGGAAUUACUGGGCGUAAAGCGCGCGUAGGUGGUUCAGCAAGUUGGAUGUGAAAGCCCUGGGCUCAACCUGGGAAUUGCGUUUAAGACUGGUGAGCUAGAGUACGAGAGAGGAAAGUGGAAUUCCUAGUGUAGAGGUGAAAUUCGUAGAUAUUAGGAAGAACACCGGUGGCGAAGGCGACUUUCUGGCUCGUAACUGACGCUGAGGCGCGAAAGCGUGGGGAGCAAACAGGAUUAGAAACCCUAGUAGU
rnacentral:rRNA from 1 species